rnacentral:tRNA from 1 species
GCCUGGGUGGCUCAGCUGGUUGAGCGUCGGACUCUUGAUUUCAGUUCAGGUCAUGACCCCAGGAUCAUGGGAUCGAACCCCAUGUCAGGCU